rnacentral:rRNA from 1 species
CAGGCUAACACAUGCAAGUCGAUCGGUAACGCGGGGGCAACCCUGGCGACGAGAGGCGGACGGGUGAGGAACGCUUGGGAAUCUGCCCUUCAGCGGGGGACAACCCGGGGAAACCCGGGCUAAUACCGCAUACGCUCUACGGAGGAAAGCCGGGGACCGCAAGGCCUGGCACUGAUGGAUGAGCCCAAAUCGGAUUAGCUAGUUGGCGGGGUAACGGCCCACCAAGGCGACGAUCCGUAGCUGGUCUGAGAGGACGAUCAGCCACACCGGAACUGAGACACGGCCCAGACUCUACGGGAGGCAGCAGUGGGGAAUCUUGCGCAAUGGGCGAAAGCCUGACGCAGCCAUGCCGCGUGUAUGAUGAAGGUCUUAGGAUUGUAAAAUACUUUCGACCGGGGAAGAUAAUGACGGUACCCGGAGAAGAAGCCCCGGCUAACUUCGUGCCAGCAGCCGCGGUAAU